rnacentral:rRNA from 3 species
UGCGACCCCAGGUCAGGCGGGAUUACCCGCUGAGUUUA